rnacentral:rRNA from 1 species
ACUUUAGUGGCGAACGGGUGAGUAACGCGUGAGGAACCUGCCUUUCAGUGGGGGACAACAGUUGGAAACGACUGCUAAUACCGCAUGAUGCUUUUGGGAGACAUCUCCCGGAAGCCAAAGCUUUAUGUGCUGAAAGAUGGCCUCGCGUCUGAUUAGCUAGUUGGUGAGGUAACGGCUCACCAAGGCGACGAUCAGUAGCCGGUCUGAGAGGAUGGACGGCCACAUUGGGACUGAGAUACGGCCCAGACUCCUACGGGAGGCAGCAGUGGGGAAUCUUCCGCAAUGGGCGAAAGCCUGACGGAGCAACGCCGCGUGAGUGAUGACGGCCUUCGGGUUGUAAAACUCUGUGAUCCGGGACGAAAAGGCAGAGUGCGAAGAACAAACUGCAUUGACGGUACCGGAAAAGCAAGCCACGGCUAACUACGUGCCAGCAGCCGCGGUAAUACGUAGGUGGCAAGCGUUGUCCGGAAUUAUUGGGCGUAAAGCGCGCGCAGGCGGCUUCCCAAGUCCCUCUUAAAAGUGCGGGGCUUAACCCCGUGAUGGGAAGGAAACUGGG